ACUCAAAUGAAUUGACGGGGGCCCGCACAAGCAGCGGAGCAUGUGGUUUAAUUCGACGCAACGCGAAGAACCUUACCUGGGCUUGACAUGUAGGUGACCGCCGUGGAGACACGGCUUUCCUUCGGGACACCUUCACAGGUGGUGCAUGGCUGUCGUCAGCUCGUGUCGUGAGAUGUUGGGUUAAGUCCCGCAACGAGCGCAACCCCCGUUCUAUGUUGCCAUCAUUAAGUUGGGGACUCAUAGGAGACUGCCGGUGACAAACCGGAGGAAGGUGGGGAUGACGUCAAGUCAUCAUGCCCCUUAUGUCCAGGGCUACACACGUGCUACAUUGGCGCAUACAAAGGGCUGCAAUACCGUGAGGUGGAGCGAAUCCCAUAAAGUGCGUCUCGGUUCGGAUUGAAGGCUGAAACUCGCCUUCAUGAAGCUGGAGUUGCUAGUAAUCGCGGAUCAGCAAUGCCGCGGUGAAUACGUUCCCGGGCCUUGCACACACCGCCCGU
rnacentral:rRNA from 1 species